UUUUUUGGGGGCACGUCGGAAGCGAGCGAGAUGACAACCGGAGACGAGAACGGUCAAAAGCUUCUGCGUCUGUUGUGUUUGGUCGGUGCCGGAAGUAAUUAAUCGUCCUUGGUACGGCUGUGUUCAACAAGUGGAGAGGUGUAAAGAAGUCCACGUUGCGACAUCAACAGCACCGGCAAUUGUUGGAGGAGCCAUCGAAAGUCGUCGAUUAAGAACUUCAUGUUGAGGGUACACUUCAAAUUAGGGCUUCGUAUGGAUCUCAUCUGCCACGAAAUGGUUUCUUCUCUGAUCAACUUGUUAUUAUUUGUAUCGGUAACUGAAAAUUGUGUCAUUUCUUUUUCGAGUUAUAUUAAACGCGGUUCGUCUUGGUAUUCGUGUUGGUCCGAUCUUGAAUAAAUACCUUAGAUGUCAUAUA